rnacentral:rRNA from 1 species
AUUCGCUAGUAAUCGCGCAUCAGCCAUGGCGCGGUGAAUACGUUCCCGGGCCUUGUACACACCGCCCGUCAAGCCAUGGGAGCCGGGGGGUGCUUGAAGUGCGUCGCCGCAAGGCGCGCCCUAGAGCAAAACCGGUGACUGGGGCUAAGUCGUAACAAGGUAGC